UACAGAGGUCUCAAGCGUUGUUCGGAUUCAUUGGGCGUAAAGGGUGCGUAGGCGGCGCGGUAAGUCGGGUGUGAAAUCUUGGAGCUUAACUCCGAAACUGCAUUCGAUACUGCCGUGCUUGAGGACUGGAGAGGAGAAUGGAAUUCCCGGUGUAGCGGUGAAAUGCGCAGAUAUCGGGAGGAACACCGGUGGCGAAGGCGGUUCUCUGGGCCUGACCUGACGCUGAGGAGCGAAAGCGUGGGGAGCGAACAGG
rnacentral:rRNA from 1 species